AACGAACGCUGGCGGCAGGCUUAACACAUGCAAGUCGAACGCAUCCUUCGGGGUGAGUGGCAGACGGGUGAGUAACGCGUGGGAACGUGCCCUUCAGUUCGGGAUAACCCAGGGAAACUUGGGCUAAUACCGGAUACGUGCGAGAGCAGAAAGAUUUAUCGCUGAAGGAUCGGCCCGCGUCUGAUUAGCUAGUUGGUGGGGUAAUGGCCCACCAAGGCGACGAUCAGUAGCUGGUCUGAGAGGAUGAUCAGCCACAUUGGGACUGAGACACGGCCCAAACUCCUACGGGAGGCAGCAGUGGGGAAUAUUGGACAAUGGGCGCAAGCCUGAUCCAGCCAUGCCGCGUGAGUGAUGAAGGCCUUAGGGUUGUAAAGCUCUUUCACCGGAGAAGAUAAUGACGGUAUCCGGAGAAGAAGCCCCGGCUAACUUCGUGCCAGCCGCCGCCGUAA
rnacentral:rRNA from 1 species